AUGGAAAAUCUUUCAGUUUUAGUUCUUGAUCAGGAUCCGGUUUCCCUGUGGACCAUCUCCAAUAUGCUUGCUAGAUUCAACUUCAAAGUUCUUCCUUUCCAUACACCGGAAGAGGCCCUAGAUUCACUUAAAAGGGGGGUUGCUAAAGAUGAAGAGCUUGAUUUGAUAGUAGCGGAAGUUCAUCCUGGCAAUACAGAGUUGGGCACCUUGGUGCUGUUUCACCACAUCCUGAAUGAACUUGAAGUACCUCUCAUCACUAUGUGUGCCUAUGACGAGGCAGUCUCUGCACACAUGACCCUUGGAACAUGGUUCAAUGUGGUUAAGCCGUUGGAUACUGAAACCAUUAAUUUUCUGAGGAUGAGAGCACUGCAACACAGGUCUAUCAAAAAUCACAGGUCUGAAACUGAGGAUGAAGAACAAGAUGCGUUGAACGCAAAUGUGUAUUCCGAUAAUCUGGGUCGGUUCACGUGGAGCAGUGAGCUCCACGAAAAGUUCUUGCAGGCUGUUGAAGUGCUUGGGGCGUCUGCCACGGCUGGAAAAAUUCACCAGUACAUGAAUGCCAAGGAUUUGAAUUUGACCAGACAGCAUGUCGCAAGCCAUCUCCAGAAACACCGGCUGUGGGCACAGAGGUUAUCUCAGGGUUAUCAACAUUAUGCCAGCAUGAAAGAAUUAUCUGAGAUGAUUUCAUCGUCAUACAAGUUAGCCAGUGCUAAACCCAAUAAUUAUCCGGCAACAACCCAGACGCAGUUCACACAUGGGGUUGCCUCUUCUAUCUGGGACAAGUACCCUGGGAUGGUGUGGCCACAUGUGGAGGGAAGUUCAGCUGCCUCUGCUAUGUGGUACAAUUACCCCGGAAAGCCGUGGGGACAACUGGGGGAGAGUUCGGCCAGAGCAGAAGUUUCCCAGAUUAAUGCAGGCCCACCUUCUGUUCUGAUUCAUGGUACCAAGUCCAUUUGGGACCGGUACGAGGAGAGCCUGCAGUACUAUAAUGGGAGCCUGGCAAAUAAACGUGAAGUGCUGCCUGUGAAGAGCAAAACAGCUGAUGUAUAUGGACGCAAGAUUUUCAUCAACCUGGAGAGAGAGGAGACCAGUCGUACUGAAGCAGCAGGCAAGAUUGUCAUCGGCCUGGAGAGCGAUGACAUGCACGAAGGCACCAUGGACAACGUGCAUGCUGCAGUUACUCCGCAGAAAGAUACCAUGGAGAAGGUGCAUGGCGCAGUUACUCCGCAGAAAGAUGCGAUGGACGAGGUGCACGCUGCAGCUAUUCCGCAUGGAGUGAACGAGGUGCCUGCUGCAGCCAUGGGCGCUGGUGAUCUGAUGGACCUUGGGAGCGAAGCCCUGCUUGACGGUAUGGACAACUACCACCCCAGUGCAGAAAAUGCGCAGUCUGAGCCUUUCAGCGACUCGGAUUGGGAUGAGUUGGAGAAAUUCUGGAUGAACCAGAUGGAAGGACAGGGCCAGGAGCAGCAAGGCCUCGUACCAUUGGAUCUGCUCCUGGUAGACGGCAUUGCGCCAGAUGAACUGCUCCAGGAAGACGAAGCCUGGAACCAGGCGCUUCAGCCAGCAAACCCGGCGAACGUCGUCAACAACGCACCCAUAGCUGAAGAACCCGCCACUGGAGACGCCCCGGUGUACGAUUCUGCGAACCAGUCAGGCGUCGCCGACAACGUGUUCUGUGUCUGGAGCCCCCAGUUUGCAGGCGAUGACUAUGGCAUACCGUUCUAG
rnacentral:rRNA from 1 species